AGGUGGCAGUGCGCCUGCGUGCGGCGAGAGCGGCGGCGGUCACGAAGCCCAUCUCCCCUGGGGUCCGGCCUCCCCCUCCUCCGCGCUGCGACCGGGCGGCCUCUGCCCGCGGAGUGGGGCGGUCGGAGGGGACGCUGCUAAGCCCCGAGAUCGCCCAGAGCCCCGCAGAAGAUGGUGGAAAAUUCGCCCUCGCCACUGCCCGAGAGAGCCAUCUACGGCUUCGUCCUCUUUCUGAGCUCCCAGUUUGGCUUCAUUCUCUAUCUUGUGUGGGCGUUUGUUCCUGAGUCUUGGCUACACUCUCUGGGCCUAACCUAUUGGCCUCAAAAAUACUGGGCGGUGGCCUUGCCGGUCUACCUCCUCAUCACCGUCGCCAUCGGGUACGUGCUGCUGUUUGGCGUCAAUAUGGCCAACACCUCCCCACUCGACUCCCUGCACACCAUCACAGACAGUUAUGCUAAGAAACAGCAGCAGAAGAAGCACCAGAAAGAGGCCAUCCCAGCACUAAGAGAUGUUCCUAUCAACGAAGUCAACAAGAUGUUCUUUUUCCCAGCCAAAGCACAGCACACCCAGCACUAAGUAAAAGGUGGGGAUCAGGGGCUUGAACCUGGGUCCUGGUGCAUCGUAAUGUGAGCUGCAUCAUAAGAAAAAAAAAAAACAGAGCACCACUCCACUCUGGCUUCGCGUGGUGCUGGGGAUGGAACCAGUGUCUUUGGAGCCUCAGAGGGGAGAAGCCUGGCAGGUGCCUAAUCUACAGAUGACCCCAGUCUGCCCCCCCCCCCUUACUGGAAAGCAUCCUGGGGGAUCCCCUGGAAGGAGCAGAAGAGAACUGUGUCCCUCAGCAGAGAGAGAUGUCACCACUUUCCCUGCUCCCUGGCCAGUGGCCACACACCCACACCAGGCCUCACCUGGCCUGUGGCUCUCCUCACCUCAGCAUCUCGAGCUGUCCGGACCCAGGGUCUCCACAGGGUAGGGCUGCAAUGGGAAGGACCCAGAUGUGAGAGAAUGGGGGGUGGCAUGCUGGGAAGAUUUCUCCCCAGGCCUGCCUUCAGGGUCCUCACAGGGGCUGGUCCCUGCUAAUUUCCUCAUUACAAGAGGACCCUGGCCACAGAAAUGCGGUGACAGAGGUGUCCCCAUCAAACGGGGACAGUUAGUGUCUCCUUCCUGCCACACACACACACCUUAAUUGUCCUUCCAGGCUAAUUUGAUUGCUCUAGACUUUGCCACAAAGUCCCCAGCACUAGGCAAACAAAGACAUCAAGGAGAGAGAGCUUAGCUGGUAGAGCUCCUCACUUGCACACCGGAGGUUCCCAGUUUGAUCCUGGGAGCUGCAAACUCUGGCCUCUCUCCCUCACACACAUCCAAUAAAUAACAUAAAUAAAAAAAAUUAAAAGAGUAUGAGAAGCUGGGGAGAUGGUGCAGUGGACAUGGUUCAGUUCCUUGGCUUGUAUGCACCAGGGUGAUGUUCUACUUCUCUCUCUCUCUCUCUCUCUCUCCUCCUCUUCCCGUCUCUAUUGUAAAUAAAUCUUAUAAUAUGAUAAAAAUAAAAUAAGGGACCAGGCAGUGGUGCACCUGAUUGAGCACACACAUUACCAUGCACGAGGACCCAGGUUCAAGCCCCCAGUCCCCACCUGCACAGGGAAAGCACCACCAGGGGUGAGGCAGGGCUGCAGGUGCCUCUCUAACUCUCUUCCUACCUCCUUUCAAUUUCUUUCAGUCCUUAUCAAAUAAGUAAAUAUUAAACAUGAUUAAAAAUCAAUUAAAAAA